rnacentral:tRNA from 7 species
GGGCCGCUGGUCUAGUGGUAUGAUUCUCGCUUAGGGUGCGAGAGGUCCCGGGUUCAAUCCCCGGGUGGCCCC